CGCGGCCCGUCAGGAACCAUUCUCUUCCCUCAAACCCUAUCUCUUCUCCCCUCAUCUGGCCACUGCUGGCGCCGCCGCCACUUCGCGAUUCCUUGCACCCGCAGCUGCCUCCGCACGCCCGCGACCGCGCCCUCGCCCCCGCCCACCGCCGCGCGGCUGCGCGCGCCGGCGCCCUCGCCCCCACCCACCAUCGCGCGCCUCCACGUAGCCUCCCUCCCCAGUUCCCCACCGGGUCUCAGAUCGAUUUGUUUUCCUUUUUCCAUUUUGGGCGGCGGCCGAGGUGAUCUGAUUCGGUUGCUCAGCAAAAGGUUAAUUGAUGCCGAUGCGUGUUUUGCUGAAUUUUUUUGGGGGGAAAGCUUCAUGUGGGUCAGCUAAUUUUUGUGGUAGUAUAAUGCUUCUGUAAAUGGCCUGAAGUACAACCACCACUCAGCAAUUCUUGAUCUGUUUGUUUCGGUGUUAAAAUUUCCAGGCCAUCCUAUUUGUGACAAUAAGGCCCUUCUCAAAGAGCUUCUAUCGGCGGAUCAACAGAUUCCUGGCAGAGCUGCUGUGGCCUCAGCUGGUUUGGGUUGUGGACUGGUGGGCAGGCGUCAAGGUAAAGAGCAUGCACUCGUCAUAUCAAAUCAUUGGCGCGAUGUCGAUUGGCUUAUUGGAUGGAUAUUGGCACAGCGCUCAGGAUGCCUUGGAAGUAAACUUGCUGUGAUCAAGUCAUCAAGGUUCCUUCCAAUUGAUCCCUGAAUUGAAGACUCUACAAGUCCAAAUUAAACAAAAACAUUAUUGCUGAUAUCUGGAAGGUUUGACAAUUUGAACAUGCACUGCAAUCUGAUCCAGUUAAAUUAGUCACUUGGUUAGGUACAAAAAUACAACAGAAUGGUGAAUGGAGCGCCGGUGAUCUUCAUCAAGGUGAAGUUUAGUUAACCUUUUCGCCAAGUUAACUUUAGUUUUAUUAGCUGCGUUAUGUACACAGAGAGUUAGAAUUUAUAGUAAUCUUCAUAUUAAGUUCCCUUCAAUAAUGUAUAUGUAGUACAGUUCUCAUUUUAGUGGACAUGCAUAUGGAACAACAAUUGGAUCUGAUGGAUGGCUUGUAAUUUUUAUGUAUAAGUAAUUUCAAUGGACAUGUAUAUGGAACUACAAUCAGAUCUGAUGGAGCUGAGAAAUUGUGCAUGGACAAA